rnacentral:rRNA from 1 species
GGGUUGUGAGGUUAAGCGACUAAGCGUACACGGUGGAUGCCCUGGCAGUCAGAGGCGAUGAAGGACGUGCUAAUCUGCGAUAAGCGUCGGUAAGGUGAUAUGAACCGUUAUAACCGGCGAUUUCCGAAUGGGGAAACCCAGUGUGAUUCGUCACACUAUCAUUAACUGAAUCCAUAGGUUAAUGAGGCGAACCGGGAGAACUGAAACAUCUAAGUACCCCGAGGAAAAGAAAUCAACCGAGAUUCCCCCAGUAGCGGCGAGCGAACGGGGAGCAGCCCAGAGCCUGAAUCAGUGUGUGUGUUAGUGGAAGCGUCUGGAAAGGCGUGCGAUACAGGGUGACAGCCCCGUACACAAAAAUGCACAUACUGUGAGCUCGAUGAGUAGGGCGGGACACGUGGUAUCCUGUCUGAAUAUGGGGGGACCAUCCUCCAAGGCUAAAUACUCCUGACUGACCGAUAGUGAACCAGUACCGUGAGGGAAAGGCGAAAAGAACCCCGGCGAGGGGAGUGAAAAAGAACCUGAAACCGUGUACGUACAAGCAGUGGGAGCACGCUUAGGCGUGUGACUGCGUACCUUUUGUAUAAUGGGUCAGCGACUUAUAUUCUGUAGCAAGGUUAACCGAAUAGGGGAGCCGAAGGGAAACCGAGUCUUAACUGGGCGUUAAGUUGCAGGGUAUAGACCCGAAACCCGGUGAUCUAGCCAUGGGCAGGUUGAAGGUUGGGUAACACUAACUGGAGGACCGAACCGACUAAUGUUGAAAAAUUAGCGGAUGACUUGUGGCUGGGGGUGAAAGGCCAAUCAAACCGGGAGAUAGCUGGUUCUCCCCGAAAGCUAUUUAGGUAGCGCCUCGUGAAUUCAUCUCCGGGGGUAGAGCACUGUUUCGGCAAGGGGGUCAUCCCGACUUACCAACCCGAUGCAAACUGCGAAUACCGGAGAAUGUUAUCACGGGAGACACACGGCGGGUGCUAACGUCCGUCGUGAAGAGGGAAACAACCCAGACCGCCAGCUAAGGUCCCAAAGUCAUGGUUAAGUGGGAAACGAUGUGGGAAGGCCCAGACAGCCAGGAUGUUGGCUUAGAAGCAGCCAUCAUUUAAAGAAAGCGUAAUAGCUCACUGGUCGAGUCGGCCUGCGCGGAAGAUGUAACGGGGCUAAACCAUGCACCGAAGCUGCGGCAGCGACACUAUGUGUUGUUGGGUAGGGGAGCGUUCUGUAAGCCUGUGAAGGUGUACUGUGAGGUAUGCUGGAGGUAUCAGAAGUGCGAAUGCUGACAUAAGUAACGAUAAAGCGGGUGAAAAGCCCGCUCGCCGGAAGACCAAGGGUUCCUGUCCAACGUUAAUCGGGGCAGGGUGAGUCGACCCCUAAGGCGAGGCCGAAAGGCGUAGUCGAUGGGAAACAGGUUAAUAUUCCUGUACUUGGUGUUACUGCGAAGGGGGGACGGAGAAGGCUAUGUUGGCCGGGCGACGGUUGUCCCGGUUUAAGCGUGUAGGCUGGUUUUCCAGGCAAAUCCGGAAAACUAAGGCUGAGGCGUGAUGACGAGGCACUACGGUGCUGAAGCAACAAAUGCCCUGCUUCCAGGAAAAGCCUCUAAGCAUCAGGUAACAUCAAAUCGUACCCCAAACCGACACAGGUGGUCAGGUAGAGAAUACCAAGGCGCUUGAGAGAACUCGGGUGAAGGAACUAGGCAAAAUGGUGCCGUAACUUCGGGAGAAGGCACGCUGAUAUGUAGGUGAAGUCCCUCGCGGAUGGAGCUGAAAUCAGUCGAAGAUACCAGCUGGCUGCAACUGUUUAUUAAAAACACAGCACUGUGCAAACACGAAAGUGGACGUAUACGGUGUGACGCCUGCCCGGUGCCGGAAGGUUAAUUGAUGGGGUUAGCGCAAGCGAAGCUCUUGAUCGAAGCCCCGGUAAACGGCGGCCGUAACUAUAACGGUCCUAAGGUAGCGAAAUUCCUUGUCGGGUAAGUUCCGACCUGCACGAAUGGCGUAAUGAUGGCCAGGCUGUCUCCACCCGAGACUCAGUGAAAUUGAACUCGCUGUGAAGAUGCAGUGUACCCGCGGCAAGACGGAAAGACCCCGUGAACCUUUACUAUAGCUUGACACUGAACAUUGAGCCUUGAUGUGUAGGAUAGGUGGGAGGCUUUGAAGUGUGGACGCCAGUCUGCAUGGAGCCGACCUUGAAAUACCACCCUUUAAUGUUUGAUGUUCUAACGUUGACCCGUAAUCCGGGUUGCGGACAGUGUCUGGUGGGUAGUUUGACUGGGGCGGUCUCCUCCUAAAGAGUAACGGAGGAGCACGAAGGUUGGCUAAUCCUGGUCGGACAUCAGGAGGUUAGUGCAAUGGCAUAAGCCAGCUUGACUGCGAGCGUGACGGCGCGAGCAGGUGCGAAAGCAGGUCAUAGUGAUCCGGUGGUUCUGAAUGGAAGGGCCAUCGCUCAACGGAUAAAAGGUACUCCGGGGAUAACAGGCUGAUACCGCCCAAGAGUUCAUAUCGACGGCGGUGUUUGGCACCUCGAUGUCGGCUCAUCACAUCCUGGGGCUGAAGUAGGUCCCAAGGGUAUGGCUGUUCGCCAUUUAAAGUGGUACGCGAGCUGGGUUUAGAACGUCGUGAGACAGUUCGGUCCCUAUCUGCCGUGGGCGCUGGAGAACUGAGGGGGGCUGCUCCUAGUACGAGAGGACCGGAGUGGACGCAUCACUGGUGUUCGGGUUGUCAUGCCAAUGGCACUGCCCGGUAGCUAAAUGCGGAAGAGAUAAGUGCUGAAAGCAUCUAAGCACGAAACUUGCCCCGAGAUGAGUUCUCCCUGACUCCUUGAGAGUCCUGAAGGAACGUUGAAGACGACGACGUUGAUAGGCCGGGUGUGUAAGCGCAGCGAUGCGUUGAGCUAACCGGUACUAAUGAACCGUGAGGCUUAACCUUACAACGCCGAAG